GGUGCAAGUGAAUCUUCUGUGCUUCAGCCAAGACGUCUGCUGGAAGCGCUAGCAGUGAAGAUUAGGAGCUCAUCGCUUACACGGCUGGGGGAGCCGGGGCUUCCGGAACUGCGAGGCUGGUGCAGCCUGCAGCGGCUCCGUCAGGCCCCGGCAGCUGCGAGGCCACAGUCACGCCGCAGACAGCCGGCAGCACAGGCACGUGUCGCCUGCACGAGCACACGGGACCCUGAGUCGCAAGGGCCACUCGGCAGAGCGUCUAGAAGCAGAUGAACCACGGCUCUGUGGCAAGUCACGGUGUGAACAGGCCUCGGGUCUGCCACGCCGUACGGGGGUGGCUCUGAGCAUCUGCAGUCUCCGGGGCAGCUGUGCAUUUCUGGCAGUGACGAAUACCGCAAAGGUCCACUGCUGGCUUCUGAGAUGCCGCGAGCAGGGCAGCUCUGUGUGGAGCGCAAGACCAACCCUGGGCUCACCCGCACGGCACGCCAGGCUCUGAAAGCAUGGCUCUACUUACAGGAAUCCCCGAGGGAACCCUCUACCUCCUCUGGAAUCACGCUCUUGAGGGAUGGGAUGCUCUGGUCCUGGGAAUGUGGAGCCAGCGGCCUCAGGCACUUUCUCGCUCCUCGGUGGUCUUCGUCUCUUGUGACCUGAAACCUCUCCCUUGCAGGAAGCACUUGGAGGGAGUGAGCCUCGGGUAAACUCUCAGCCACCGCUGAGCUGGCUAGACAAAGCAGUGACACUGGCCUAACAGGCAUUGCUUGUUAAGGGUUUCUUUUUUUUUAAUAUAAAAAAGUAUUAACUACA